GCUAAAGUAGCUUAAUUGGUAAAGCAACUGAUUUGUAAUCAGUAAAUUAUGAGUUCAAAUCUCACCAUUAGCU
rnacentral:tRNA from 1 species